GAUGAAGAACGCAGCGAAAUGCGAUACUUGGUGUGAAUUGCAGAAUCCCGUGAACCAUCGAGUCUUUGAACGCAAGUUGCGCCCGAAGCCACUAGGCCGAGGGCACGCCUGCCUGGGCGUCACACGUCGUUGCCCCCCACCAUCUACUCCUUCGGGAUUGCGGGGGGCGGAUGAUGGCCUCCCGUGCGCCUAGCUGCGCGGUUGGCAUAAAUACCAAGUCCUCGGCGACGCACGCCACGACAAUCGGUGGUUGCGAAACCUCGGUUGCCCGUCGUGUGCGUUCGUCGCGCAUCGAGGGCUCGAAAAAAUGCUCGGCUCCGGCUCGGCUUUCAACGCGACCCCAGGUCAGGCGGGGUUACCCGCUGAAUUUAAGCAUAUCAAUAAGCGGAGGA
rnacentral:misc_RNA from 1 species